AUGGGGGAAAAAAAAAAGCCAUAUUAUUCAAGAAACAAACAAAUAAACCAAAUUCACAAUGACCCUGGUCCACAGGGAACCCCAGACUGCCUCAUUUUCUAUCGUAACUCACAAACCUUGAAAAACAUCUUGGCCUGGAAAGCUCUCAGCACUGCAGGCUUUGGAGAAGGUCACAGCCACCAACUUCUUGUCUUCAUCCUGGACUUCAUCCUUCAUGCUGGAGCUGGAGGAAGCUGCAUCAUCAAUUUCCAUCAAUUUUACUGCUGCACAAAUAAUGUGCUGCUAUAGUUCUUCCACAGGUCAGUUCCUGCAUGAGGUACAUUGACUGCAGGGAUGUAAACUGUAAAUAAACAGUGGCAUAAUUUAUCUUCUCUGAUAUUA
rnacentral:lncRNA from 1 species